UGCCUGCUGGGCUAUUUCUAACGCUCGAUC
rnacentral:sRNA from 1 species